CAUUACCGAGUUUACAACUCCCAAACCCCUGUGAACAUACCUUAAUGUUGCCUCGGCGGAUCAGCCCGCGCCCCGUAAAACGGGACGGCCCGCCAGAGGACCCAAACUCUAAUGUUUCUUAUUGUAACUUCUGAGUAAAACAAACAAAUAAAUCAAAACUUUCAACAACGGAUCUCUUGGUUCUGGCAUCGAUGAAGAACGCAGCAAAAUGCGAUAAGUAAUGUGAAUUGCAGAAUUCAGUGAAUCAUCGAAUCUUUGAACGCACAUUGCGCCCGCUGGUAUUCCGGCGGGCAUGCCUGUUCGAGCGUCAUUUCAACCCUCAAGCCCCCGGGUUUGGUGUUGGGGAUCGGCUCUGCCCUUCUGGGCGGUGCCGCCCCCGAAAUACAUUGGCGGUCUCGCUGCAGCCUCCAUUGCGUAGUAGCUAACACCUCGCAACUGGAACGCGGCGCGGCCAUGCCGUAAAACCCCAACUUCUGAAUGUGACCUCGGAUCA
rnacentral:rRNA from 1 species